CGUUUUUUGAUUGAGUAGUCUGAUGGGUUCAUCUGGUGUAGUUUCAUAUGGUGGAGGUCGAAUUGCAUGUUCUUAUUUUCCCCCCUAAUCAAGUUUAGAAUCGUUUUGAAUUUUGAAUUAUGUAUAAUUUUCCCUCCUGAUUGAAUUUCCUCUUAUCCACUUGUCUAUAAAUUGGGGAUGGGUAAGAGUUUCAAUGCACAAAUUGAGACCAACAGAGUAUAGUUAGGGUUUUAGAGAGAUGGUUAUACCUUUAUUGAUUGUUGCUGAAGAUGUGGAAAGUGAUGCCCUUGCAAUUCUUAUCCUAAAUUAGCUUCGCGCUGGAAUCAAGGUAUGUGCCAUCAAAGUCCAUGGUUUUGGUGAAAAUCGGAAAUCUGGUCUCCAGGAUCUUGUUGUUCUAACACGAGGUCAAACCUCGGCCACAAUCUCAAGAAAGUGGAUCUGGAAAUGUUUGGCUCUUGCAAAAAGAUUACAAUUUCCAAAGAUGACACUGUCAUUCUUGACGGUGCCGGUGAUAAGAAAGCUAUCGAGGAAAGAUGUGAGCAGAUUAGGUCGGCGGUUGAAAAUAGUACUUCAGAUUAUGACAAGGAGAAAUUGCAGGAAAGAUUGGCCAAGAUUUCUGGUGGUGUUAGGGAUGGUAAGAUUACUAAAAUGGUCGUCGUUGAGCUUACUGAUCAUAGGUAAAUGUUAUUUAUAUUUAUAGCGUAAUCAUCGCAAAUUUUAUUUUGCAGUAUUAUAAUUGUUUUGUUUAAUUUUGGUCAUGGUUAUGAUAAACAGUGGUAAGUGUGAAUGUGCUUUGUUUGGUGAUUACGUUGACUGAACAAGAAAAUGGGGAAAACUUGCAAAAUUUAAAUUUUUAGAGAUAAUGUAUUAUUAUAUUUGAAUUAGUAACUUCUCAAAUUUUCCACUGAUUGAAUUAGUUGUUGAGUGAUCGUGUAGUUGUGUUUGUCUUUGAUAAAGAUGUUCAGAAUUUGACUGUGGAGACUUGUCCUCUUUUGUUAUCAAUUGGAUAUGGAUUGGUUAGUAAUUUGGUUAAGGAUAGCCAAAUUUUUUGCACACCCCUAAUGGUGGGUUGUGAAAUCUUUAUUUUUAUGGUUAUAGCUGUUCAUAUUUAAAGACAUUGUAUAAUGUGUUUUGCAGGGAGAGAGCUCUUCCUUAUAUCCAGAUGAGAUGGAGUGCUUUUACGGUGAUGCAACGAAGUUGGUGUUGUGAACAUGUUCUUUGAUGAGUUUAUCCCAAAUAUUGAUAACUUUGUUGAUUGAAACUCCAAAUUAUGAGUCUAUCAAAGAGGAGUUGAGUGAAGGCCAAAUUCUUUAUUAUUCUUUUUUUUUGGUCAAGAAAAGAACCUGCUGAUGGUGAUGUUGAUUCAGGUCUUUCUUCCUAAUUUGUUGAUGGACGAGUGCGUAAAAAUGGUGUCAUUUGCAAACCAAGUGAAACCAAUUUAAAUCUGUUGUGUAUUGUUUCAUCGUUUGAUUUAUCUGCUGAUUAUGGUAUACUCAAACAAAUUGAAACUCCAAAUUAUGAGUCUAUCAAAGAGGAGUCUUUCUUCCUAAUUUGUUGAUGGACGAGUGCGUAAAAAUGGUGUCAUUUGCAAACCAAGUGGACAAUGGAGAUAAGAGUAGAACUCCAUUUCUAGGUCAUUCUUGCUUCCAACGUGAAAGAAGAAACUCAAAGAAUGGCAUGUCAACCUAUAUUGAGAAGUUUGUUUAUUCUAGGAAGAAAACCUGUGUUAAAAGAAAGCUUAGGUUUAGGUUUGAUGAUAAUGGUGAAGAUGCUAUGAACAAGAGCAAAAAAAAAAAACAUUUUAGUGAAAAUAAAUUUGUUAAGGAAGGAGUGUGAGAAGAAAAAAGAACUAUCACAUGAAAGUUGAGCAUUUUAAACCUCAAUUGCAUGGCCUAUAGUUUGGAUUAUAUGCUGGUACACUCAACUUCAAAUGAUCUCCAAUGCAGGAGGCAUUUGUAUAUGAUACAGGCAGCAAUUGGUCUAUUCCCAGCAAAGCCUAGAUGUUUUGCAAUACAUCUAAUGAGAAACUCUUGGUUCUCCUGUUGUUUCUCAUUCAGUGACUUUUGUGGUUUAUCCUCCACCUCAGCGGAUUCCCUUUCCCUUUGGUUCAUCCAGAGAUUUAUGUAUGAACUCGGCGAGUUGAUUUUGGAGCCAACGAAUAUCAUAACAGAAUUAUAUCUCAAAAUUUUACCAGGGGAAAAACUAUAUUUUAACCGUACCUAUUUUGAAACUAUGUAAAGAAAUUUGAAAUUACAUGACAGCCAAAAAACUGCAUAACAUAGCAACUGUUUUUUGUGGUGUUCUGUAAAGCUGCCAACCAGCCAUCUUGGACCCGCUGGUGCUAGAAGAAAAACUACCAAGUCUCCCUUGGGGCCGAUGAAAAAGAGAAAGAGAAUUAUCCGCUGCUCCAAUACCUAACCAGUGCUCCCUAGCAUUGAUAGAUAAUAUGGCAGCGUUGUGAAUUGUUUCAUUUUUUGCACACCUUAUACCUCCUGCACAUUCAAUUAAUGUAUGACAAAUAUCUGAAUCCCAAAAAAAAAAAAGAGUACCGAGAGUUGUAUUUUUUUGGGGUAACAUACACGUCUCUUCCACCCGCAGCUAAGAUUCCCACAUUGUCAUCAUAUCCAUGCAUAAAACAGCACUAGAGCCGGUUGCAACACAUCUAUCAGUUCUUACAUCCCACAUCUUCACAGUGCUGUCAUGGGAUGCAGUUAGCACACGCUCACCAGAGAGCGUGCGUACACAGAUGACCUACAUGGUUUUCUAAAUUAAGUUUCAAUCAUCCAAUGUGUAUAUGUUUAAAAGAUUCGUAACAUGUAUAAACUGUUCACUGCGGAACAAGACGAAAUAUUUUUAAAAUAAAGAAUACCGGGCCGUCAUGGCCUUUAAGCUAUUCUACAAGUUGAGUCAUGUGCUUAUCCCAAACCAAAACAGACUGAUCAUCAGAACCUGACACGACUUUUCCCCUGUCUGAUGCAGACUCUGUAAUUCUUUUGGGUAUAGUAUUUUGGGUUUACUGACAUCAACCGUUUGUGAUUUUGAUAAAGUUGCCCUUACCAUUAUAUUUUGUUAACUUAAACUAGAGUUUCUUUUCUUAGCA